rnacentral:lncRNA from 1 species
CCUCUGAAGACGUACACCGAGUAUACGGCCAUUACCACACACCUGACAACGCAUACGCUAGAAACUGAUAAAGCACACUUACAGUUAUCUUCUGUGGCUUGCUUUUGUAUCAACAUGAAAUGACUAACUGUAAUAUUUAAAGCAGAGCAAAGCAAAGAGUUCAGUGUAAAAAGGAGCAACAGAAUUCUCUGAGGGGCCAAGAUGAAUUUGGGCUUUGAUGCCACCCAAGCCAGGCAGCAAGAUUCUGAAUUACCAGGAGCAGAGCCUGGUUGUCAUUUACUGUUUACUCACAAGCCCUGAAGUCGUCCGCAGUGGUCUGAAAUGUGUCCCAAGCAGCUGACGGCCGUGUAGCUGCUUUAAUGCAAGCACUGACCAUACCAUGCUACUGCUUCUCCGGCUGCAUCUCCGGAAGGCCAUUGAAGUCCUGUGGAGUAUGGACAACUUAUUCAGGAAACCAUCCCAGAGCUACGCUGUCCUAUACUCCAGCUCAGGCUGCCACCACUGUGAGGGUGGUAAUUUCUUCACCCUUCUUCUGUGUACAUUCAUUCAACAAACAUUCCAGAGGGCCGUGUGCCCGGCAGAGUAAUGGAUACCAAGGACACACAGUGAGAGAGAAAUGGGC